rnacentral:misc_RNA from 1 species
GACGAAGAACGUAGCGAAAUGCGAUACUUGGUGUGAAUUGCAGAAUCCCGUGAACCAUCGAGUCUUUGAACGCAAGUUGCGCCCGAAGCCAUUAGGCCGAGGGCACGCCUGCCUGGGCGUCACACGUCGUUGCCCCCCCAUCUACUCCUUCGGGAUUGCGGGGGGCGGAUGAUGGCCUCCCGUGCGCCUCGUCGCGCGGUUGGCAUAAAUGCCAAGUCCUCGGCGACGCACGCCACGACAAUCGGUGGUUGCGAAACCUCGGUUGCCCGUCGUGUGCGGUCGUCGCGCAUCGAGGGCUCGAAAAAAUUGCCGGGCUCCGGCUCGGCUUUCAACGCGACCCCAGGUCAGGCGGGGUUACCCGCUGAAUUUAAGCAUAUCAAUAAGCGGAGGA